rnacentral:rRNA from 1 species
CCCUACGGGGCGCAGCAGUAGGGAAUCUUCGGCAAUGGGCGAAACCCUGAUGCAGCAACGCCGCGUGAGUGAUGACGGCCUUCGGGUUGUAAAGCUCUGUCUUCAGGGACGAUAAUGACGGUACCUGAGGAGGAAGCCACGGCUAACUACGUGCCAGCAGCCGCGGUAAUACGUAGGUGGCGAGCGUUGUCCGGAUUUACUGGGCGUAAAGGGAGCGUAGGCGGAUUUUUAAGUGAGAUGUGAAAUACUCGGGCUCAACUUGAGUGCUGCAUUUCAAACUGGAAGUCUAGAGUGCAGGAGAGGAG